CCUGCUCCUGGCCUGUAAGCUGUUUGUGACUUCAUGGCAGGGUCAUGACCCCAAUGCUGUCAUCUCUCAGAAGUAUUUCCAUGUUUGGAAUUUCUUCUGAAUCUUUUCCUAAGUCUUCUUUUUUUUUUUUUUUUUUUUUUGGAAUAUUGUCAACAGUGGACAAUUUUCACACUUUAUUUCUGGAAGGAGAAUAAAAAAAGACAACGACUAUUCAGAGCCAAGUGUGGUGAGGAGGGUGAAUAAUCGAGCUGUGGAAUGCUACUCUGGUUAAAAUAGGUGCCAUCCGCAAAGAAAUAGAUGGAUUUUUAUUCGGCUCAUAAACUGACUCUGAAAGCAAUUCCCAGAGAAGAUUAACUGAGUAUCUGCGACAUCUGAGUGAGACCACGUGGAGGAUACACGCUUCGGCUGCUACUUCUCCAGAUCUCUUGCUCCAUCUCUUCUACCCUCUCCCUCCCUGCUCCCAACCAAUUCUUUAAACCAUAUCCAAGCCACAUGAAAGAAUCGAUUCCACCAGGCUUCACUUCCUUCCUUCAACACCUCCACUAAGUCACAAUCGGAAACUAAAGAACCCCAGAUUCCUCUUCUGUAUCCUAGGCCACAUUCCAGUUUCGACUCGUAUGUGGAGGCUACUUAGGCAUUUUGAUUUCUUCAGAUCAUUUUCUGACCCAGCUUCAUUGGAAAUGACUUCGAGGUAAAACCUGGGACUGACCCUUUCACCCCGUGUGACGAAGCCCUUCAGGAGUCGAAGGGAGAGUCUCCCCAGCAGUUUGUGGCAAAAAGCACAUAAUAGCUAUCAACGUUUGAGGAAACCGGAAGAUCUGAGACAUCACAAGCAUUUGAAUUUCAAUUUCUCCAUCUCCGGACUUAUGAUGCAAUAAAAUAAAGCCUCCCACUGUAGUCCAGUCCACAGCAAAGUCAAGCCCCAAAUGGCUGAAUGAAGAUCUGAAAGGCUUGGAAAAAAAUAAAUGAACUGCCUGCUUUUCAUUAUGCUUCCCUCUCAGGAUGGAGAUACAUCUGGUUUUCUGAUUACACUUUACCAUAGUAAAGAAAAUUCUAGCCUAGCAGGUCAAACCAGCUGAUGACUAGCCAGCUCCAAUUACUGACCUGACCUGCUUCUAACCUCAGAGGAGGAGGGAAGGAGAAAGCCCUUUUCUCUCAUUCUUAGAAACUGAAACAUGGGCAUAGAACGUUGUGGGGUUUGUUCCUUGAUUAAUUAAAGUUGCUUAUUCAAA
ensembl:lncRNA